UCUUACGGUCAACAGCUGUGACAGCCAAGCAUGGUUGUACACUUGGUCCGGUCUAGUAAAGUCAUAUAUGGAGGUCGCACAAUUUGGAAACAGAACUGGCUCUUGAAUACUAGUAGUAGUU